GAUGGGAAGAGGAAAGAAGCUAGCAAAGUUUGCAAAGCCCAAGUCAAUUCAUUCUCCACAAGCCUACCUCUGCUCCUAGCAAUAAUCCAGACUUCUCCAAGCGGGAAUCUCCCAGCGGGCUUCCAUAGAGUGGAGGGGUGGGGUGGGGAGGACCACCCACCGGCCCUCCUAAUAUAGUAAUAAUUGCUAAAGGCGCCUGUUUGCUUGCUCGCCUUCCCGCUUUGGGGUGAGAGUAGGCUGGGUCUCCUCCUCUGGCCCUCCAAGGGAGAAGGUCCUUGGGAGCCCUGGAAGAAAACGCGUGGAGGAGAGGCUGGGGUGGGUUUCGUUGGCCCUUACUCUCUGCAGAGGGUUUGUCCCGGGAAGUUGGUGGGCCCCCCAGCCCUGGACGGUCUUAACGGCUGAUCUUUCUUCAGAAAAUGCUUGUCAUGGCAACAGCUAGCGCCAGCCCUGCCAGACUCGCUCUGGCUCUCUCUUUCCCACUCUCUCCCAGCGCAGGGAGAGGAGGAGGAGCAGGAGAAGGAGAGGUGGGACUAGGCUGCCAGCCCAGCGAUUACUCUCCUGUUAAGGUGGUCUGAUUCUUUGGCUGCUUCCUGGCAUCUUUUUAAGGGGGAAUGAGGGGAAAGAAAGGGGAAGAAUCCUUUCUGGUCUUUCUGGCGCUCUCCCCUCCCUCGCCGCGAUCAGCCUGGAGAAGCUUGGGGGAGGGAGCAAGGCGUGAACAUGAAGUGAAAGAAAGAUGGAAGAAAGGGGAUACCGGAGGAAGGGAAAUGAUAUGGGUGAAGGUAACUGCUCAGAAAAUGCUGACCAACUCCACAACGACAAUUCAGAUUUAUAUUUGGCUUUACAAUUGGCAAAGUACUUUACCUCCUUUACCUUGUUUGAACUUCACAACAAUCUUCAAGAUAGGUAAGUACGUACUGUAGGUCCCUCCAUUCUACAGAUGAGAACACCGAGGCUUAGAAAGAUGAACUGAUUUGCCCAUGAUUUACAAAGCAAGUAAGCAUGAGAGGCAGGCUUUACACCCAGGUCUUUUUGAUUUGCAAAUACAACACGCCUUCUAUGAUGUCCGGCUGCCUCCCCAAUCUUCUUUUAUCCACUUUUUCUAGGUCCC
rnacentral:lncRNA from 1 species